GGUUUCUAUAGGUAGGCAAUUGGUCUGCAACUUAUUAGUGUCCUCAGUUACUGGUUUUCCACAUCCUGUGAUCCCUUUUAGAUUAACGAAGCAAUUGUGUUCCAUGUGUUGCAAGCAGUUCCCCCAGCAUAUUACGCGCACCUGACGGCUUUCCAAGCACGCCACUACUUGGAUGACGGCUUCUCUGACCAAGGAUCGUCUUCUGCGACGAGCUCUCAGCUCCACGAUCGUGCCGUCCAGCUGGUGAAGCAGCU
rnacentral:lncRNA from 1 species